ensembl:lncRNA
UAGAAGUUAUGGUUGCUUUAGCGAUCACUGCUUAUAAUUAAAAUGCUGGCUGAAUGAACACCGUUAUACUGGCUGUGGUUCAGCUCAGCCUUCAUCUUGGCUCUUUUGUGAACUCAAACGAAGCUUUUAAGAUGGGGAACCUGGAACAAACAACGCUUGACUUUGAGAAUAACAGCCAGUGCUGAGAGCUGAUUCAGCUGUUUGCGUUGAUCAAGCCCAAGGUGAUUUUGAAAAAGUAGCUUCAAAAGAAGACCUGCAGUAGGCACCGGAGAUGCUCGCAUACAUACUAAUAUGCCUGCAGUCUGUGUGAGAACGGAGGAUCAAGGAAGUAGGACCUGGCAACCACCAAAGAUUGGCAGCAUGGAACAGAUGGUCCGGAGGAGAGGAACGAUGUGGACAUGCAAGGAAGAAGUGCAGCCCUUAACACAGAUAAGAGACGAGGCUUCUGAUGAGACCACUGCUGUAUAAUCAGCAAUGGAGCAAUCCACCUUCAGCCCACACUCAAAGACAAUAUACACUUAAAGCUCCCAGAAUGGCUUUUACAGCCAGAUGAGAAACUUUUUUUAACAUCAUUUACUGACCCUUGUUAUUGCAAUCCAUGUGGCUGUCUUUUUUCUGAACAACACAAAAGGAUAAAUUUUGACAAAUGCAAUAGCCACUCUUUUCCAUGGGUUUUCACAGGGUUUGUACCGGAGCUCUUCAUCACUGAAAUACAACGCUGUAUCACGUGAGUUACUGAGCAAACCUACUGAAUAUGAAAACCCAUACAUAUGAAGCUGAAUAUGUGACACUAACCUUCAAAAGUAUCAGUUUUCAAAUCUCGCAGCAUGUUAAAAUUGUUUUGAAUUUUACUGCCUCUAGUGUUCAUUUCAACUGGAAACUGCAGCAAUUUGUAUGUAUAGUAUGAUUGUUUUGUUUUUUUAGCUUUGCAGAAAUGUAUGCAUAUAUUUCGAAUGAGCCUAUGUUGAAUUUCAAAUAAUGUAAUAGCCACUCUUCCAUGCAGUUACAACGGGGACUAGAAUUGUCAAGUUUGAAGAAGCAUAAUAAAAGUGGUCCAUACAAUUUAUAAAGUAAUAUAUAUCAUCUCUUCUGUAUUUCUAUGAUAGUUUGGCUUUUUUAGCCAAAGGAGAACCUUUUUUUAAGUUUUUCUAUCAUCAUUUAUUCAUCCAUGUUGUUGCACACCAUAUAAACGUCCUUCUUCUGAACAACUCAAAAGGAGGAAUUCUGAAUAAUGUACUAGCCGCUCUUUUCCAUGCAAUUACAAUGAAUGAGGAUUGGAGCUUUCAAGCUUGAAAAAACUGCAAAAGCACCAUAAAAGCGUCAUAAAAUUGGUGCUUACAGUAUAAAGCAUUAUUUUCCAUGUCUACUGUAUUUAUACAAUAAUUUGGCUCUUACAGCCAAAGGAGAACCUUUUUCAUUUUUUUCUAACAUCAUUUACUCACUCUUGUUGUUGUACUAUAUUACCAUAUGAAAAAGGAGCUGAUAUUUUUAAUGCAAUUGCAGUGAAUGGGGACUGGAGCUUUCAAGUUUUAAACAGAUGCAAAAGAUAUAUAUGUAUCUUUUAACAUUUUCAUUUUCUGAACAACCAUCUACUGUUGCCAGGUCAAAAACAUGGCUCUUGAUAACUCAAUGUUGAAUGUAAAGUGCUGGAAAGAACCAUUAAAGAACUUUUAUUUAAGAGUGUAAUAUAUGUUUCCCAUCUGAAGGCCAACAAAUGCAUUUAAGAUGAUGUUGGACCAUAUGGAACAAAGCAUGCUUUGCACUGAAUUGAACAGUAACAGAAAGUUUUCCAGCCUGUCAGGUUUCUGCUGCAUAAUCACCAAGGUCAAGGUCAGAAUGCUUUACAUUAUGACAGAUUGUUCUUAGACUUCAUAAGAGCUUGGAAUUCUUGUCAUUGCGAAUCCUCACAGGUAUCUGCUGGAGACAGAGAGAGGAUUCGCUUACAUUGACACUACAGAGGCUGGAAUCAAGUUUUUUUUUUUUUUUUUUUUUUUUACUUCACAGUCACAACACGACAACGGAGAAGAUCAGAUGAAUGCAAACAAUGCAAUACUUCAAGACAAAGAAUGACUUUUUGGUCAUUCAUGAGAAACGUUUAUAAUAAGCUAAUAAAUCGAUUCCAAGGUUUAUUAGAUUUUUGCCCACUAUCCUUUAAACUUCACAUUCAGUAAAUUUGCUGGCUCCGAAUGAUUCAGGUUUCAUUAACCAUCAUUUCAGUACUUAAAAAAAAUAAAAAAUAAAUCUACUGCUAAAUAAUGCGACAAUCAAUUUGUCUGUCCACACCAGAUGCUACAAGGCUAUAAGACGCAACAAAAUCAAUAAAGAAACACAGCC